rnacentral:rRNA from 1 species
AGUGAACGCUGGCGGUAGGCCUAACACAUGCAAGUCGAACGGCAGCACAGUAAGAGCUUGCUCUUACGGGUGGCGAGUGGCGGACGGGUGAGGAAUACAUCGGAAUCUACUUUUUCGUGGGGGAUAACGUUGGGAAACUUACGCUAAUACCGCAUACGACCUACGGGUGAAAGCAGGGGAUCUUCGGACCUUGCGCGAUUGAAUGAGCCGAUGUCGGAUUAGCUAGUUGGCGGGGUAAAGGCCCACCAAGGCGACGAUCCGUAGCUGGUCUGAGAGGAUGAUCAGCCACACUGGAACUGAGACACGGUCCAGACUCCUACGGGAGGCAGCAGUGGGGAAUAUUGGACAAUGGGCGCAAGCCUGAUCCAGCCAUACCGCGUGGGUGAAGAAGGUCUUCGGGUUGUAAAGCCCUUUUGUUGGGAAAGAAAAGCAGCAGGUUAAUACCCCGCUGUUCUGACGGUACCCAAAGAAUAAGCACCGGCUAACUUCGUG